AACGAACGCUGGCGGCAUGCCUAACACAUGCAAGUCGAACGAGAUCUUCGGGUCUAGUGGCGCACGGGUGCGUAACGCGUGGGAAUCUGCCCUUUGGUUCGGAAUAACAGUUGGAAACGACUGCCAAUACCGGAUGAUGACGAAAGUCCAAAGAUUUAUCGCCAGAGGAUGAGCCCGCGUAGGAUUAGCUAGUUGGUGUGGUAAAGGCGCACCAAGGCGACGAUCCUUAGCUGGUCUGAGAGGAUGAUCAGCCACACUGGGACUGAGACACGGCCAGGACUCCGCGGGGAGGAAGCAGUGGGGAAUUUUGGAAGAGGGGCGAACGCCUGAUCCAGCAGUGCCGCGUGAGUGAUGAAGGCUUUAGGGUUGUAAAGCUCUUUUACCCGGGCUGAUAAUGACAUGCCGGGGAGAAUAACUCCCGGCUACCCCCGUGCCGCCCGCCGCCGAAA
rnacentral:rRNA from 1 species